CAUCCUCCGCCCGGCAACCCUCCUCAUCCUCCACAAUCGUUCUUGCUCGACCUGCGUCACCAUUCCUCGUCCGCCUGCGACAGAAACUUAAACUCCCGCAUGGACAGCUAAGUUAGGUUAGGGAUUCCCCCAUUUUGGCUUAUUUGAGUUCAAUUUCGGCCAGAUUUUCUUGCUCCGUCUAUGCCGCAAUUGUUGCUCCGCCUGCGCCGCCAACUCCCGCUCACGGCUGCACAACGAAAUUAGGCCGUCGACUUGGCUCGCUCAACACGGUCCAUCGAAAUCGGAGGCCCAUGAACUAAAUCGGAAGAAUGGUGUUCGUUCAUGUUCGUAGACCAGACCCAUCAACGGAACGGAAAUUAACGGUUCUCCUUCUACACGAGUUAACUCUAUUUUCCGGCGCUUUAAUGAUGGAUUCAUGAUGGACCCUAUUUUUCCUCACUACUUCCAUCCGAGAUUGGACACCUCAUUAUUCAUCCGAGAUGCUCGUUCCAUAUCUUUCUCCCCUUCCGCUUCCUCCUUACUGCACGGUGAGAUGUUUGGCAAAGAGAGGCGGUGACAGGGGAGCAACGCCAACUCAACCCAAUGUUGGUUGACACAUUUCCCAAUAAAUUGCUAAUUGCAAGGAACAAGCUGCUGCAGUAGACGUCUCUUCCUUUGCUCCUGUUGAGGAGUACCCGCCGAUUGUAUGUGCCUGUGAUUCUCUUAAUUUAGGAUUAGGCUCGAUCUGCUCUGACUACAUGAUUCUAAGACAUUACUCCAGGUGCCAUCUAAGGAUUUUGGGCAACAACAAACUGUGACUUGGGCCCAACUGAGCUGGUGUAGAGGUGAUAGUCUAGCUUUGGUCUUGAGGGAGUUGGCUGGCAGGUUGAUUGAUGGCAUGUGCCACAACUCUGGAGGCAGAGGAUCCAACCGUCUAUGUGGCUGUUUUCCCUCCGGCAUAGUGUUGAGCAGCGACCCCUUUUUUUUGAGGGAGGGCGCCAGCCUCUUCUUCUAUCAUAGAGGCAUGACCACAAGAUCAAAACAACUGCAGAACCACAACAAGACUCAUUUGCUUGUUUGUUGAUGAUAUGCUUCGGAUUAAUCUUUCAUUGAGGUUGUUGGUUGGUCCUUAUAUUUCGAGUUGUCGAGACACAAUGAUGUUACUACGAAUAUUUGCACAUUUUGUGUUAGUAGUUGAAAUUGAACACAUUAUACACUAAAGGUACAUGGAUGUUGUUUGAAAAGUCAGAAGGCUACUAUCUGUUUGUAUUGUUGCUUGUCAUAUGUAUUCGAUGGUCAUCU